GUCUACUUCCAGGCUGCGGUUGACCAAAGAAAGUGAAACCAUGGAUAAAGGGGGACUACGGUACUACAAAUAAGUUGCAGAGCUACAGUUUCUAGUGACCAGGAUGAAACCCACUGGGACAGCCCUGUCACUUUGGAGCCUGCAGACAGGAUCCUGGGAAAACUAGCAGAAGCCAGCAAAAGUUCCUAGAUCAGUACUCUCCAUGGUAUGCCACUGGGCCUCCCACAGACAUGGAUUUAGACCUAUGAUGUCAUCGUAUCUGGAAGCUCCUCUGUGACUCUGCAGCCUGUGCCUUAGUGCAUAAACACAGUGCAUGUGCGUUAGUGUUGCUGAUGCACGAAGAAUCAAAUGGGUUAGGGAAAAAUUAAUUCUUAUCCUUUAUUCUUAAUCCUUGUUCCCUUUGCCCACACCUGUGUAGGUGUUGUGUAGAGGCCAUGGCUUGAAAUAAAAGCUC